rnacentral:lncRNA from 1 species
GCGGGCCGGCGGGAGAGGUAUUUAAAUUGCAGCCGGAGCGCGGGGGCUCCGGUGGGGCAGCUGAGCGGCCUGCUCCUCCUCGGGCCGUGACCCCGGGGUCUGGCGCGGGGUGGGACCCGGGGGCGGGUUUGCGCAAAAUGUGCCGAGACUGCCCGGGAGAGGAGCUGCGGCCGCGCUGAGCCAGAGCCAUGAGACCCCAGAUCCUGCUGCUCCUGGCCCUGCUGACCCUAGGCCUGGCUGCACAACACCAAGACAAAGUGCCCUGUAAGAUGGUAAAAAGCCUCACCCAGAUGACCCCCAUCCCUCAUACCAUGGAGUCAUGAGCUGUCUGGGAAGAAUGGACGUGCUGGGACCAACUCAAGACCUUGUUUUGCUGUCUUCAUCAUCUUACCUGUGCUUGGCCCACAGUCUGGCUCAUGAUGUGGGCUCAGUAAUGUGCGAGAAAGUGAAAAUGCCACUCUCUCCACCCCAUUUUACAGAGGAGAACACCAAGGCCCAGAGGAAGUUAAGGGAGAGUCAAUGGGCAGAGCCAGGGCUAGGCCCUGGUGGUGUGUGGAGCACCCAGGCAGACCCAGUCCUGGUUGGGAUCACACCCACGGGUGCUACUGCACGUAACACUCCUCCUUAGGCCUGGAGGCCAAGGUGUGGGUCCCCACGCCUGAUCUUUGAAAACACUACACAGGGCUGCUGUCACUUCCCAGGGCCCAGGCCUCAGCCCAGGCCUCGGGACCAACUCUUUGUAUAACCUACCUGAAUGUAUUAAAAACUAAUUUUGGAGAAGCAGUGUGGCUGCCAGCUUCCUCUUUGCAAUCCGCUUCAUUGCGUCCACUAGAACCCUGCCGCUCAAUCCCAUUACGGUCGUUCAAUCAUCAUGGCAAAUCCCUGGGGACACUGAGACUCUGGGCCAGCACCACCCUGGACCUUGAAGCCGCAGCCACUAGCAUGGCCCCUGCUACACCUCUUGCCCCACACUCAACAGGCGACUGUGCUCCCCACCCCAGGGCUGAGAGGCUGAGGGCUUCCGUUUGUUUCCUUCCUGCUACAGCUACAGGCCCCCUCCCCUUCUCUGUGCUCAGCCCUCUGUGCCCUAUCUCAGAGGCUGCACUGCCCCUCCUCCUUGGGGUCCCCAGCCCCGUCCUCUCUCCCUUACCCC